rnacentral:lncRNA from 1 species
GCAAAAAGCAAGGAAUGAUUAUAUCCUGGACCAUUUCUAUGUGAAGACUGCAUGAAGACUGGUGCUGGGAGUAUUGGAAUGAGGAGGCUGAGCCCUUUGCAUAGCAACUGUGCAGUGCUAUUGCAACUGCAAUGAGAAGCCACUGCAUCCAUAACACAGGGUAUAGAGGGAUAAACAGCAGAGUUCUGCGCUGAAUGAGAAGGGUACUGCUGAACUUCUUGCAUAGCUCCCCAGUGAGGCUUGCUGCUGAAAGGUUUUGGGAAAAGAAGGCUGCUUUGACUGCAGGGCCUGCUCACAACCCUGAGAAGUGCUGCAUGCAGAGCGCAGAGAUCCACGCCUGAUCUGCAAGGCAGAUACGUGGCUGAAGCUUUCAGGGAUCUGCUUCUACCAAACAAAGAAAUGAAGAGAGAGAAGAGAGUGAAGAGAAUGAAGAGAGUGAUUUGCACUAGCAUGGCAGGAAAGAGCCCCAGCAGCAAGGCAGCUUCCGAUGACAGGAAUAAUGACUCGGUCUUCCUGUCUCAUGGGGAGCUCUAACAAACAGAAAUGGUCCCACUGGACACAAUGGAGAAAUUUACAUAAUGAAGAAUUUCAUAAAGUGAUUCUCUAAGAGCU